rnacentral:rRNA from 1 species
CCUACGGGUGGCAGCAGUGGGGGAUAUUGCACAAUGGGGGAAACCCUGAUGCAGCGACGCCGCGUGGGUGAAGAAGCGCCUCGGCGCGUAAAGCCCUAUCAGCAGGGAAGAAAAUGACGGUACCUGAAGAAGAAGCCCCGGCUAACUACGUGCCAGCAGCCGCGGUAAUACGUAGGGGGCGAGCGUUAUCCGGAUUUACUGGGUGUAAAGGGGGCGCAGACGGCGAUGCAAGCCAGGAGUGAAAGCCCGGGGCCCAACCCCGGGACUGCUCUUGGAACUGCGUGGCUAGAGUGCAGGAGGGGCAGGUGGAAGUCCUGGUGUAGCGGUGAAAUGCGUAGAUAUCAGGAGGAACACCGGUGGCGAAGGCGGCCUGCUGGACUGCAACUGACGUUGAGGCCCGAAAGCGUGGGGAGCAAACAGGAGUAGAUACCCUUGUAGUC